rnacentral:rRNA from 1 species
CCUAACUCUGUCUAGUUAAGCAAUUAUACAGCGAAACUGCGAAUGGCUCAUUAAAUCAGUUAUCGUUUAUUUGAUAGUACCUUACUACAUGGAUAACCGUGGUAAUUCUAGAGCUAAUACAUGCUAAAAACCCCGACUUCGGAAGGGGUGUAUUUAUUAGAUUAAAAACCAAUGCCCUUCGGGGCUCACUGGUGAUUCAUGAUAACUUCUCGAAUCGCACGGCCUUGCGCCGGCGAUGGUUCAUUCAAAUUUCUGCCCUAUCAACUUUCGACGGCUGGGUCUUGGCCAGCCGUGGUGACAACGGGUAACGGAGGGUUAGGGCUCGACCCCGGAGAAAACGCCUGAGAAACGGCGUUUACAUCCAAGGAAGGCAGCAGGCGCGCAAAUUACCCAAUGCCGACACGGCGAGGUAGUGACGAGAAAUACUGAUACAGGGCUCUUUUGGGUCUUGUAAUUGGAAUGAGUACAAUUUAAAUCUCUUAACGAGGAACAAUUGGAGGGCAAGUCUGGUGCCAGCAGCCGCGGUAAUUCCAGCUCCAAUAGCGUAUAUUAAAGUUGUUGCAGUUAAAAAGCUCGUAGUUGAACCUUGGGCCUGGCUGGCCGGUCCGCCUCACCGCGUGCACUGGUCCGGCCGGGCCUUUCCCUCUGGGGAACCGCAUGCCCUUCACUGGGCGUGUCGGGGAACCAGGACUUUUACUUUGAAAAAAUUAGAGUGUUCAAAGCAGGCCCAUGCUCGAAUACAUUAGCAUGGAAUAAUAGAAUAGGACGUGUGGUUCUAUUUUGUUGGUUUCUAGGACCGCCGUAAUGAUUAAUAGGGACAGUCGGGGGCAUCAGUAUUCAAUUGUCAGAGGUGAAAUUCUUGGAUUUAUUGAAGACUAACUACUGCGAAAGCAUUUGCCAAGGAUGUUUUCAUUAAUCAGGAACGAAAGUUAGGGGAUCGAAGACGAUCAGAUACCGUCGUAGUCUUAACCAUAAACUAUGCCGACUAGGGAUCGGACGGUGUUAUUUUUUGACCCGUUCGGCACCUUACACGAAAGUACAAGUUUCUGGGUUCUGGGGGGAGUAUGGUCGCAAGGCUGAAACUUAAAGAAUUUUAGGAGA